CCUCAGUCUCCUCUCAAGAGGAACCACUGCUGUUCUUUGCUUGGAGCCCUUAGAUUCCCCCUCACUUUUAUUGAAGACAGAGGCAUUGUGACGCUCGUCUCUUAAGUCCGCAGCCACCCAGCCACAUGAGGGAGCCCAGCAAGGAAAAAUGGCAAGGUAUGCUUCUCUCUCCUUGGAAUUUAGAGUGGAUGACUUCCCUUGGGGACCACCCAAGCCACUCCCUUCUCCAAAAGGAGAUAGAGGAGGACAGAGUGACAGCUAGGCAGAAAGCAUGUGGGUUAUACGAAGAUAUUAUGGUGAAUGUGCUAAAUAAUUUAAAAGAUAUUGCCAAGGGUGCCAUGUGCAGGCUGACUGGAGGAGAGCCAGAUGCCAGCCCUCUACUGUGAGUUGGCGCCACUCACGGACCACGGAGGAGGAAAACAAGAAUUAACAAGAAGCUAAGACCUCCUGCAAGCUGGUGCCAUGUGCAGGCAGACUGGGAGCGAGUCAGACGCC
rnacentral:lncRNA from 1 species